UACGAAGGGGGCUAGCGUUGCUCGGAAUCACUGGGCGUAAAGCGCACGUAGGCGGACUCUUAAGUCGGUGGUGAAAUCCUGGAGCUCAACUCCAGAACUGCCUUCGAUACUGGGAGUCUCGAGUCCGGAAGAGGUAAGUGGAACUGCGAGUGUAGAGGUGAAAUUCGUAGAUAUUCGCAAGAACACCAGUGGCGAAGGCGGCUUACUGGUCCGGUUCUGACGCUGAGGCGCGAAAGCGUGGGGAGCAAACAGG
rnacentral:rRNA from 1 species